rnacentral:rRNA from 1 species
AUUGAACGCUGGCGGCAGGCCUAACACAUGCAAGUCGAGCGGAUGAAGGGAGCUUGCUCCUGGAUUCAGCGGCGGACGGGUGAGUAAUGCCUAGGAAUCUGCCUGGUAGUGGGGGAUAACGUCCGGAAACGGGCGCUAAUACUGCAUACGUCCUGAGGGAGAAAGUGGGGGAUCUUCGGACCUCACGCUAUCAGAUGAGCCUAGGUCGGAUUAGCUAGUUGGUGGGGUAAAGGCCUACCAAGGCGACGAUCCGUAACUGGUCUGAGAGGAUGAUCAGUCACACUGGAACUGAGACACGGUCCAGACUCCUACGGGAGGCAGCAGUGGGGAAUAUUGGACAAUGGGCGAAAGCCUGAUCCAGCCAUGCCGCGUGUGUGAAGAAGGUCUUCGGAUUGUAAAGCACUUUAAGUUGGGAGGAAGGGCAGUAAGUUAAUACCUUGCUGUCUUGACGUUACCAACAGAAUAAGCACCGGCUAACUUCGUG